UAGGGAAUCUUCGGCAAUGGACGAAAGUCUGACCGAGCAACGCCGCGUGAGUGAAGAAGGUUUUCGGAUCGUAAAACUCUGUUGUUAGAGAAGAACAAGGACGUUAGUAACUGAACGUCCCCUGACGGUAUCUAACCAGAAAGCCACGGCUAACUACGUGCCAGCAGCCGCGGUAAUACGUAGGUGGCAAGCGUUGUCCGGAUUUAUUGGGCGAAAGCGAGCGCAGGCGGUUUCUUAAGUCUGAUGUGAAAGCCCCCGGCUCAACCGGGGAGGGUCAUUGGAAACUGGGAGACUUGAGUGCAGAAGAGGAGAGUGGAAUUCCAUGUGUAGCGGUGAAAUGCGUAGAUAUAUGGAGGAACACCAGUGGCGAAGGCGGCUCUCUGGUCUGUAACUGACGCUGAGGCUCGAAAGCGUGGGGAGCAAACAGG
rnacentral:rRNA from 1 species